UUAAAAAGUCAAAUACUCAUUUAACUAAUUAAAUUUAAUUAAAAAACGAAAUACAUUAUUAAUUUUCAAAAAAGUAACCAAUUAAAAUCAACAAAUUAGAUUUGAUAUCUAAAUUAUCAUAUUAAUUUUUUAUUAAUUAUUAUAGUUCACCUCUCAUCUUUAUAUGAUUCUAUUUUUACGAAAAAAUAAUAUCAUCGUUAUAAAAAAUAAUUAGAGUUUUUUCGCAUAUGUCAUAAUUUGAAUUUUUUAAAACGAAUAUAAACUGUUCAAUACAUGAAAAAAUAUUAUAACGGGUCAAAAAUAGAUUCUUCAUUCAUGGAAUCAUUAUUCCAAGGGUUUUGGGAUGUUUUAUAUAAUGAUUUUGGCAGGAUGUAAAAUUUUUCGAAUAAAAAGUAGUCAGCAAAACAUAUGUUUUUUUGGGAGUUUUUAGAUAAUUAAAUCAGAGAAUAGGGCUGGACAUAUGAGUAACCCAUUCGAGCUCGGGUAGAACCCGUUCGGGUUUAAGAUUAAUGGUAUAUGAUUUACUACCCAAUAGAAUACUUCUAAAUAUUCGGUUCUGGUUCGGGUCGGGUCCAGUUGGGUUUGGGUCAGUUUGGAUAAAAAGUUUCAGACCCUAAAAAUACUCAAAAAUUAGAAACGGAUAUUUUGUAUGUAGAUAGUGGGUCUCCAAACAAAAAAAACUUUUAAAUUUGUUAAGUUUUAAUAAAUUUAAUUAUAUUUGAA
rnacentral:sRNA from 1 species